GCCCUCGUGGUGUAAUGGUAACACACUCGGCUCGUAUUCGAGAGGUGCAGAUUCGAGUUCCGGAGAGGGCA
rnacentral:tRNA from 1 species